UACGAAGGGUGCAAGCGUUACUCGGAAUUACUGGGCGUAAAGGGCGCGUAGGUGGCGGUCCAAGUCAACGGUGAAAGCUCGGGGCUCAACCCCGAGUCGGCCGUCGAUACUGGGUUGCUUGAGCACUGUAGAGGCAGAUGGAAUUCCGGGUGUAGCGGUGGAAUGCGUAGAGAUCCGGAAGAACACCGGUGGCGAAGGCGGUCUGCUGGGCAGUAGCUGACACUGAGGCGCGACAGCGUGGGGAGCAAACCGG
rnacentral:rRNA from 1 species